rnacentral:rRNA from 1 species
AUGAGCUCUCGCAGCAGCAGCGGCGGCGGCCAGGCCUCCCAGAUGAUGGCCUUCUCGGAGCAUUCGCUGCCGAAGCCGAUCGCCGGCCACCCGCAGCCGCAGCCGUCCCCGCCGUCGUCGCCGAGCGAACGGCCGGCGCCUCGCGGCAGGCGGCGCGCGCAGGAGCCCGGGCGCUUCCUGGGCGUGCGCCGGCGGCCGUGGGGCCGGUACGCGGCCGAGAUACGCGACCCGACCACCAAGGAGCGGCACUGGCUCGGCACCUUCGACACGGCGCAGGAGGCCGCCCUGGCCUACGACCGUGCCGCGCUCUCCAUGAAGGGCGCGCAGGCGCGCACCAACUUCGUCUACGCGCACGCCGCCUACAACAACUACCCGCCCUUCCUCGCGCCGUUCCACGCGCAGCAGCAGCCCGCCGCCUACGCGUCCUCCACCAUGCCGUACGGCGGGCAACAGCGCGCGGGCGCGGCGGCGCCGCACAUUGGCAGCUCGUACCACGGCCACGGCUACCACCAGCAGGGCCCGGGCGCCGGCGCGGGCGAGUGCUCCAUGCCGGUGCUCAAUGCCGCGGAUCACGGCGCCAGCAGCCCGAUGGACGUGCGCGGCAGCGGCGGCCACGACAUCCUCUUCCCCAGCGCCGACGACAACUCCGGGUACCUGAGCAGCGUGGUGCCGGAGAGCUGCCUCCGGCCCCGCGGCGGCGACCUGCAGGACGCGCGGCGCUACUCCGUGUCCGACGCCGACGCCUACGGGCUGGGCCUCCGGGAGGACGUGGACGACCUGGCGUUGAUGGUGGCCGGCUUCUGGGGCGGCGCCGACGCGGCGUACGGCGGGUUCGCCCCCGCGAACGGCGGCGGCCACGACAUGGUCGCCUCGUCGCAGGGCUCCGACAACGGCUACUCCCCCUUCAGCUUCCUCUCACACUGA